rnacentral:rRNA from 1 species
AACGAACGCUGGCGGCAUGCCUAACACAUGCAAGUCGAACGAGACCUUCGGGUCUAGUGGCGCACGGGUGCGUAACGCGUGGGAACCUGCCCUUAGGUUCGGAAUAACUCCCCGAAAGGGGUGCUAAUACCGGAUAAUGUCUUCGGACCAAAGAUUUAUCGCCUUUGGAUGGGCCCGCGUUGGAUUAGCUAGUUGGUAGGGUAAAAGCCUACCAAGGCGACGAUCCAUAGCUGGUCUGAGAGGAUGAUCAGCCACACUGGGACUGAGACACGGCCCAGACUCCUACGGGAGGCAGCAGUGGGGAAUAUUGGACAAUGGGCGAAAGCCUGAUCCAGCAAUGCCGCGUGAGUCAUGAAGGCCUUAGGGUUGUAAAGCUCUUUUACCCGGGAUGAUAAUGACAGUACCGGGAGAAUAAGCUCCGGCUAACUCCGUG